GACGGAGGGUGCUAGCGUUGUUCGGAUUUACUGGGCGUAAAGGGCGCGUAGGCGGCCCUGUCAGUCGGGUGUGAAAGCCCGGGGCUCAACCCCGGAACGGCACCCGAGACGGCAGGGCUGGAGACCGGGAGAGGAGGGUGGAAUAGCCAGUGUAGAGGUGAAAUUCGUAGAUAUUGGGAAGAACACCGGUGGCGAAGGCGGCUCACUGGCUCAUUUCUGACGCUCAGGCGCGACAGCGUGGGGAUCAAACAGG
rnacentral:rRNA from 1 species